rnacentral:rRNA from 1 species
UGGGGAAUUUUUCGCAAUGGGCGAAAGCCUGACGGAGCAAUGCCGCGUGGAGGUGGAAGGCCUACGGGUCGUCAACUUCUUUUCUCGGAGAAGAAACAAUGACGGUAUCUGAGGAAUAAGCAUCGGCUAACUCUGUGCAG